CUACUUUCCCAGAGUAGGAUGAUCAGGAACAGCUAGCAUGAUAACUGUUCCUGUAGACUCCCCAAUGUAAUUUUAUUUUUAUUUGCAGAACCCCUGCAAUACCGCCGCAGGCCCCAGUUUGAAAACCCUUGAUGUAGAGCACUGCAAAGCACAAACAAGACAGAUUGGAGGAUCUUCCAGCUUUCCUGAACGUGAAAGCACACAGACGGAUUACCUGACAGUCUCCUGUAGAAUUCUCUGAUACAGAGCAGAAUUCGUAGCUCCUUCAAUUAUGCAAGUCGUCCAGGUCCUGAGGCAGCAAAGCAUCCCACUACCACCACCAUGCUUGACAGUUGGUUUAAGGUUCUUACUGUGAAAUGCAUUGUUUGAUUUUGACCAGCCAAAAUGUUGACUCAAGUUUGUCAAAAAGCAUCUGGAAGCACCUGGAUGAUGAUCAAGACUCAUGGAAGAAUUUUCUAUGGACAGACGAUUCAAACAUAUACCUUUUCGGAUGAAAUGGGUCCUAUUAUGCCUGGUCACUUACACUGUACUUUUAAUGUUAUCUCAACUGCAAUCCUGGUCAUUUGGUUGUGCUAUUAGAAGAAGCACAGUGAUAACACAUUACAUUUUUGUAUAAAUACAAAAUAUCUGACAUUGUAUUUACAUUUGAACUUUGUUGUGCUUUUAAAUGGUUGAAAGCGCAGUGAUAGUACAUUUACAUAAUGACAACUAAUUUUAAAAAUCUUAUAGUUUUUCCAUUGGAAUUUGGUUGUGCUUUUAGAUGGUUGGAAGUGAUAACACAUUGGGAAUUCAACACACUUCUGGCUGUCAUUUUGAGAGGGUGAAUAAAGGUUGAAAUCUCAUUGAUCAACGUCAAUCAAACA
ensembl:lncRNA